rnacentral:rRNA from 1 species
CCUACGGGAGGCUGCAGUCGAGAAUCAUUCACAAUGGGGGAAACCCUGAUGGUGCGACGCCGCGUGGGGGAAUGAAGGUCUUCGGAUUGUAAACCCCUUUCAUGUGGGAGCAAAUUAAAAAGAUAGUACCACAAGAGGAAGAGACGGCCAACUCUGCGCCAGCAGCCGCGGUAAUACAGAGGUCUCAAUCGUUGUUCGGAAUCACUGGGCGUAAAGCGUGCGUAGGCUGUUUCGUAAGUCGUGUGUGAAAGGCGCGGGCUCAACCCGCGGACGGCACAUGCUACUGCGAGACUAGAGUAAAGGAGGGGGAGGCGGAAUUCUGGGUGUAGCAGUGAAAUGCGUAGAUA